CGCGGCCGAGCUAGGCGCUGGCGGUGGCGGUAGAAAUCAGUAGCUUGUUCCUUAGGAGACCACGGCACAGCGAGCUGGGAGUGUUUACUGAGAGGCCGAGCUGGAGAGAGAGGCAGGAUCUGUUCUGAGUUUCACAGGCCUUGGGGUCCUGGCCUUCGCCAGUGGUUGGGGCGGCCCGAAAGUACGGUGGUGUUUUUAGAGGCGCAAACAAGUUUACUGGAACGACCAGAAAACUUGAACGUACUCCUGACCAACUUUCCUCCCGUUGGGUAGAGACAAUUAUCUCCUUGGAACUGUACUACAUUUGCUUGAGGUAGCUAGCGAAGCAUCAGAAAUUAAAAGUGAACAUACACGCGAAUCUGUCUUAAUUUCAAAGUAGCAUAUAUUGUGUUCUUUGGCAAAAGCAAGGAGGAAUGGGAAAAUCGUUUAUGAAAACUACUCAUCAAAUUUAGAAACUAGUACGAUAUGGUCUCGCUAGAAUCCGUAAAAUUACGGAAGCAGAGUGAAAAGUCAAGGGCAUUAAACGUUCCUGAUGACAUGCCAGGCUAUUUUAGAGAUA